CUAGUAAUCGCAGAUCAGCAACGCUGCGGUGAAUACGUUCCCGGGGCUUGUACACACCGCCCGUCAAGUCAUGAAAGUCGGUAACACCCGAAGCCGGUGGCCUAACCUUUUUGGAGGGAGCCGUCGAAGGUGGGACCGGUAAUUAGGACUAAGUCGUAACAAGGUAGCCGUACCGGAAGGUGCGGCUGGAUCACCUCCUUU
rnacentral:ncRNA from 1 species